CGGACGGGUGAGUAACGCGUGAGUAACCUGCCUUACGCAAGGGGAUAGCCGUUGGAAACGACGAAUAAUACCCUAUGAAACUAUCACUUCGCAUGAAGCGAUAGUCAAAGUGUUAGCGGUGUAAGAUGGACUUGCGUCUGAUUAGCUAGUUGGUGAGAAAAAAGCCCACCAAGGCAACGAUCAGUAGCCGGCUUGAGAGAGUGUACGGCCACAUUGGGACUGAGACACGGCCCAG
rnacentral:rRNA from 1 species